UACGAAGGGGGCUAGCGUUGCUCGGAAUCACUGGGCGUAAAGCGCACGUAGGCGGAUUGCUAAGUCAGGGGUGAAAUCCUGGAGCUCAACUCCAGAACUGCCUUUGAUACUGGCAGUCUCGAGUCCGGGAGAGGUGAGUGGAACUGCGAGUGUAGAGGUGAAAUUCGUAGAUAUUCGCAAGAACACCAGUGGCGAAGGCGGCUCACUGGCCCGGUACUGACGCUGAGGUGCGAAAGCGUGGGGAGCAAACAGG
rnacentral:rRNA from 1 species